rnacentral:rRNA from 1 species
GACGAACCGUGCAAACGUUAUUCGGAUUCACUGGGCUUAAAGGGCGCGUAGGCGGUCCAUCCAGUCAGGGGUGAAAUCUUUCGGCUCAACCGGAAAAGUGCCUUUGAUACUGAUGGUCUCGAGGGAGGUAGGGGCAUGCGGAACUUCCGGUGGAGCGGUGAAAUGCGUAGAUAUCGGAAGGAAUGCCGGUGGCGAAAGCGGCGUGCUGGACCUCUUCUGACGCUGAGACGCGAAAGCGUGGGGAGCGAACAGG